UACGUAGGGGGCAAGCGUUGUCCGGAUUUAUUGGGCGUAAAGAGCGUGUAGGCGGUUUGGUAGGUCCGCUGUGAAAACUCGAGGCUCAACUUCGAGCUGUCGGUGGAAACUUUCUGGCUAGAGUCCGGAAGAGGAGAAUGGAAUUCCUGGUGUAGCGGUGAAAUGCGCAGAUAUCAGGAAGAACACCCGUGGCGAAGGCGGUUCUCUGGGACGGUACUGACGCUGGAGACGCGAAAGCGUGGGGAGCGAACAGG
rnacentral:rRNA from 1 species